CCGGCACCUCAACCCAAGAACUGCUGUUUCCUGUAGCGGUGGUUUAAACAGGGGUGCACACAGCAAGUGGAUCCCGUCGCCUUUGGGGGCUGUGGCUGUGCCCCUCAAAGUGAAAGUGGAGGUCCCACAUCC
rnacentral:snoRNA from 1 species